rnacentral:rRNA from 1 species
CCUACGGGAGGCAGCAGUGAGGAAUAUUGGUCAAUGGACGAGAGUCUGAACCAGCCAAGUAGCGUGAAGGAUGACUGCCCUAUGGGUUGUAAACUUCUUUUAUAUGGGAAUAAAAUGUUCCACGUGUGGGAUUUUGUAUGUACCAUAUGAAUAAGGAUCGGCUAACUCCGUGCCAGCAGCCGCGGUAAUACGGAAGAUCCGAGCGUUAUCCGGAUUUAUUGGGUUUAAAGGGAGCGUAGGUGGAUUGUUAAGUCAGUUGUGAAAGUUUGCGGCUCAACCGUAAAAUUGCAGUUGAAACUGGCAGUCUUGAGUACAGUAGAGGUGGGCGGAAUUCGUGGUGUAGCGGUGAAAUGCUUAGAUAUCACGAAGAACUCCGAUUGCGAAGGCAGUUCACUGGACUGCAACUGACACUGAGGCUCGAAAGUGUGGGUAUCAAACAGGAUUAGAUACCCCUGUAGUC